rnacentral:rRNA from 1 species
UACAGAGGGUGCAAGCGUUGUUCGGAAUUAUUGGGCGUAAAGAGCUCGUAGGCGGUUUGUCGCGUCUGCCGUGAAAGUCCGGGGCUCAACUCCGGAUCUGCGGUGGGUACGGGCAGACUAGAGUGAUGUAGGGGAGACUGGAAUUCCUGGUGUAGCGGUGAAAUGCGCAGAUAUCAGGAGGAACACCGAUGGCGAAGGCAGGUCUCUGGGCAUUAACUGACGCUGAGGAGCGAAAAGCAUGGGGGAGCGAACAGG